AGUCCCGAGGUGUAAUACAUGUUGGAUUGCAAACCCAAAGUAGUAGGCUCACGCCUUCCGGGACUU
rnacentral:tRNA from 2 species